UAGAGAGAAACAAUGGGAGUGACGGUUGAAGAGCCAGAUACAAAGAGAGGGGGACUAGGAAAGAGUGAUAAAUUAUUUGUCAAUCGAAUAAUAAGAAAUAUAUUGCCAAUGGAAAGUCAAGGACAUAUCAGCUCGUGAACUCAUGCGAAUCGGAAAAAAGACCGCCAGAUUAAGGACUAUAAGGACCUCUAAGGACCUCCACGAGUGACAAAGCAGAUUUCUUAAGGAUCGGACUUAAUUAAGGCCAGAUUUAGUUAAUUUAAGUUUAAAUAAGCUAAAAUUAUAAAUUAUGCUCGUUUUGUA